AGUCGAGCGGGGAUUAUCGAAUGAAGUUUUCGGAUGGAAUUUGGUGAUUCUAGCGGCGGACGGGUGAGUAACGCGUGAGCAACCUGCCUUUCACAGGGGGAUAACGCAUCGAAAGGUGCACUAAUACCGCAUGAGACCACGCUCCCGACAUGAGAGAGGGGUCAAAGGAGCAAUCCGGUGAGAGAUGGGCUCGCGUCUGAUUAGCUAGUUGGUGAGGUAACGGCCCACCAAGGCGACGAUCAGUAGCCGACCUGAGAGGGUGAUCGGCCACAUUGGAACUGAGAGACGGUCCAAACUCCUACGGGAGGCAGCAGUGGGGAAUAUUGGGCAAUGGGGGAAACCCUGACCCAGCAACGCCGCGUGAAGGAAGAAGGUUUUCGGAUCGUAAACUUCUAUCCUUGGUGAAAAUAGUGAUGGUAGCCAAGAAGGAAGCCCCGGCUAACUACGUGCCAGCAGCCGCGGUAAUACGUAGGGGGCAAGCGUUGUCCGGAAUGAUUGGGCGUAAAGGGCGCGUAGGCGGCCUGGUAAGUUUGAAGUGAAAGUCCUUCUUUUAAGGAGGGAACUGCUUUGAAAACUGUCGGGCUUGAGUGCAGGAGAGGUAAGCGGAAUUCCCGGUGUAGCGGUGAAAUGCGUAGAGAUCGGGAGGAACACCAGUGGCGAAGGCGGCUU
rnacentral:rRNA from 1 species